GAGGGUACAGCUCAGAGGUAGAGUGCUUGCCUAGCAUGCAUAAGGUCCUGGGUUCAAUCCCUAGUACUUCCA
rnacentral:tRNA from 1 species